AUUGAACGCUGGCGGCAUGCCUUACACAUGCAAGUCGAACGGUAACAGGUUAAGCUGACGAGUGGCGAACGGGUGAGUAAUGUAUCGGAACGUGCCCAGUCGUGGGGGAUAACUACUCAAAAGAGUGGCUAAUACCGCAUACGACCUGAGGGUGAAAGCGGGGGACCGUAAGGCCUCGCGCGAUUGGAGCGGCCGAUAUCAGAUUAGCUAGUUGGUGGGGUAAAAGCCCACCAAGGCGACGAUCUGUAGCUGGUCUGAGAGGACGACCAGCCACACUGGGACUGAGACACGGCCAAGACUCCUACGGGAGGCAGCAGUGGGGAAUUUUGGACAAUGGACCCAUGUCUGAUCCAGCCAUGCCGCGUGCGGGAAGAAGGCCUUCGGGUUGUAAACCGCUUUUGUCAGGGAAGAAACGAGUUUCUCUAAUACAGAGACUUAAUGACGGUACCUGAAGAAUAAGCACCGGCUAACUACGUGCCAGCAGCCGCGGUAACAC
rnacentral:rRNA from 1 species